rnacentral:ncRNA from 1 species
GCCGGAACGCGCGAAAGCACAGCCCGGUCGGUAGUCCGGGCGCCGUCGGCCCUCGGCCGACGGCCAGUCAUUCCCUCCCAGGGUGUCCGGUGCGUUCCUCCCGGUG